rnacentral:rRNA from 1 species
UAGGGAAUCUUCCACAAUGGACGCAAGUCUGAUGGAGCAACGCCGCGUGAGUGAAGAAGGUUUUCGGAUCGUAAAGCUCUGUUGUUGGUGAAGAAGGAUAGAGGUAGUAACUGGCCUUUAUUUGACGGUAAUCAACCAGAAAGUCACGGCUAACUACGUGCCAGCAGCCGCGGUAAUACGUAGGUGGCAAGCGUUGUCCGGAUUUAUUGGGCGUAAAGCGAGCGCAGGCGGAAGAAUAAGUCUGAUGUGAAAGCCCUCGGCUUAACCGAGGAAUUGCAUCGGAAACUGUUUUCUUGAGUGCAGAAGAGGAGAGUGGAACUCCAUGUGUAGCGGUGGAAUGCGUAGAUAUAUGGAAGAACACCAGUGGCGAAGGCGGCUCUCUGGUCUGCAACUGACGCUGAGGCUCGAAAGCAUGGGUAGCGAACAGGAUUAGAUACCCUGGUAGUCCAUGCCGUAAACGAUGAGUGCUAAGUGUUGGGAGGUUUUCCGCCUCUCAGUGCUGCAGCUAACGCAUUAAGCACUCCGCCUGGGGAGUACGACCGCAAGGUUGAAAC